rnacentral:rRNA from 1 species
UACGUAGGGGGCGAGCGUUGUCCGGAAUCAUUGGGCGUAAAGAGCUCGUAGGCGGUUCAGUAAGUCGGCUGUGAAAUUCCGAGGCUCAACCUCGGAACUGCAGUCGAUACUAUUGUGACUAGAGUCCGGUAGAGGAGAAUGGAAUUCCUGGUGUAGCGGUGAAAUGCGCAGAUAUCAGGAGGAACACCGGUGGCGAAGGCGGGUCUCUGGGCCGAUACUGACGCUGAGGAGCGAAAGCGUGGGGAGCGAACAGG